rnacentral:tRNA from 1 species
GCCAGUCGUGUGUCAGUAUGGCCGAGUGGUUAAGGCGCUAGACUUGAAUUCUUCAUUUGACAUCUAGUUCAUUCGUGAUCCUAGGUUCGAACCCUAGUGCUGACGU